CAAAAACAUCGCCUCUUGAACAAAAAUAAGAGGUCCAGCCUGCCCAGUGACUAAUGUUCAACGGCCGCGGUAUCCUAACCGUGCGAAGGUAGCGUAAUCACUUGUUCUUUAAAUGAGGACUAGUAUGAACGGCACCACGAGGGUUAUACUGUCUCCUCUCUCUAAUCAGUGAAACUAAUCCCCCCGUGAAGAAGCGGGGAUAAAACUAUAAGACGAGAAGACCCUAUGGAGCUUUAAACUUAUCCUCAAACGCCAAAAUCACACACCAAGUUUUAAACUUCACCACAUGAACUCUCGCGCCAUGAGGACAAUUUUUAGGUUGGGGUGACCAUGGAGUAUAAAAUAACCUCCAUGCUGAAUAGGCCUCCAAGCCUCGAGCCAAGGGCUACGACCCAUCGCACUAAAAUAUUAACAUCCAUUGAUCCAAUGUACUUUGAUCAACGAACCAAGUUACCCUAGGGAUAACAGCGCAAUCUACUUCAAGAGUUCCUAUCGACAAGUGGGUUUACGACCUCGAUGUUGGAUCAGGGUGUCCCAGUGGUGCAGCCGCUACUAAUGGUUCGUUUGUUCAACGAUUAAAACCCU
rnacentral:rRNA from 1 species